GAUGAACGCUAGCUACAGGCUUAACACAUGCAAGUCGAGGGGCAGCACUAGGUAGCAAUACUGAGGUGGCGACCGGCGCACGGGUGCGUAACGCGUAUCCAACCUUCCCGUUACUCAGGGAUAGCCUUCCGAAAGGGAGAUUAAUAUCUGAUGGUGUUGAAAUUCCGCAUGUUAUUUCAACUAAAGAUUUAUCGGUAACGGAUGGGGAUGCGUGACAUUAGGUAGAUGGCGGGUAACGGCCCACCUAGUCUACGAUGUCUAGGGGUUCUGAGAGGAAGGUCCCCACACUGGAACUGAGACACGGUCCAGACUCCUACGGGAGGCAGCAGUGAGGAAUAAUUGGUCAAUGGUCGGAAGACUGUAACCAGCCAAGUAGCGUGAAGGAUGAAGGUUCUAUGGAUUGUAAAC
rnacentral:rRNA from 1 species